UACGUUUAGACCAUUACAGGAUAUAAAUAGCAAAGUCAACUGGAAUUGUAAUUAGAGCUUUGAGUUUUCUUGGGCUAGAGGUUUUUUCUGCCAUUCUGAUGAACCGUAGAGGAAGGGAGCAAGGUCGGCGGGGUUUGGCCGAGGGGCGGGGUGAGGACCGCGCAGGCUCAGCUUCUCAGCUGGAAGAGGAAGUCGCGAGUGCAGGCGUCUGCGGCCCCCAUGGUGACCAGACCGACUUCCGCCCGGCCCGCCCACCUCUACCGGCCCCUAAUCCCGCGAGGCGCACCAUGGCAACCAGACUUCUGCGUCGCGGAAGCGGGUUCCGCAGGUCGCCACCAUUGGGGGAAACGCGGCGGACGCCGCCCCCAUCCCGAAGGGGACUCGAAAAUGUACAGCCAGCGGUUUGGCACCGUACAGCGGGAGGUUAAGGGCCCCACCCCCAAAGUGGUGAUCGUGAGGUCCAAGCCUCCUAAAGGCCAAGGGGCUGAGCACCAUCUAGAAAGAAUCCGACGCAGCCAUCAGAAGCAUAAUGCUAUUUUGGCUUCCAUUAAGUCAAGUGAGCGGGAUCGCUUGAAAGCUGAGUGGGACCAGCACAAUGACUGCAAGUUUUUGGACAGCCUUGUGCGAGCAAGAAUCAAGGAUGCCGUGCAAGGGUUUAUCAUUAACAUUGAAGAAAGACGAAAUAAGCUACGUGAGCUUUUAGCAUUAGAAGAAAAUGAGUAUUUUACAGAAAUGCAAUUGAAGAAAGAAACCAUUGAGGAGAAAAAAGAUAGGAUGAGAGAGAAAACUAAAUUACUAAAAGAGAAGAAUGAAAAAGAGAGGCAGGAUUUUGUGGCUGAAAAGCUAGACCAGCAAUUCAGGGAACGCUGUGAGGAGCUCCGUGUUGAAUUGUUUUGUAUCCAUCAGAAGAAGGUGUGUGAGGAGCGGAAAGCACAGAUUGCAUUUAAUGAGGAGCUGAGGAGGCAAAAGCUGGUGGAAGAGCAGAUGUUCUCCAAGCUCUGGGAGGAAGACCGAUUAGCCAAGGAAAAGCGAGAAGCCCAAGAGGCGAGGAGACAGAAAGAGCUGAUGGAGAACACACGCCUGGGGCUGAAUGCCCAGAUCACCAGCAUCAAGGCACAAAGGCAGGCGACACAGCUGUUGAAGGAAGAGGAGGCGCGCCUUGUGGAAAGUAACAACGCACAGAUUAAACAUGAGAAUGAACAGGAUAUGCUAAAGAAACAGAAGGCAAAACAGGAAACUAGGACCAUUUUGCAAAAAGCCCUACAAGAGAGGAUAGAACAUAUUCAGCAGGAAUACAGAGAUGAACAGGACUUGAACAUGAAGCUCGUGCAAAGGGCCCUUCAAGACUUACAGGAAGAGGCAGAUAAAAAGAAACAAAAAAGAGAAGAUAUGAUAAGAGAACAGAAGAUAUACCAUAAAUAUUUGGCACAGAGACGUGAGGAAGAAAAAGCUCAGGAGAAAGAAUUUGACAGAAUAUUAGAGGAAGACAAGGCAAAGAAAUUGGCUGAGAAGGACAAGGAGCUGAGACUUGAAAAGGAGGCAAGGAGACAGCUUGUGGAUGAGGUCAUGUGUACAAGAAAACUUCAAGUUCAAGAAAAGUUGCAACGAAAAGCUAAAGAACAGGAAGAACAUGCUAUGGAACAGAAACACAUAAAUGAAAGUCUUAAAGAACUUAACUGUGAAGAGAAGGAGAAUUUUGCAAGUUUUUUUCUACCUGACCUGAAGUAUUGAUGUAAGAGCAACAAGUUUCAUUUAACAGCAUGCAGGUGCCUCCUGCCUCAGCAUUAAGCACAUCCACAGCACAUCAGUUUUGCAAGACAACCCCUGCCAAUGAAUUUAGGACCUGUUAUUGGGCCUUGAUGGCCAUGACUUUAGCUGCUCAAGAUUGCUGGACUAAGAUGGUGAUAUUACAAAUGCUGCACUCAAGCAUGGGUAUACCUGCAAACCAAAAGACUGCAUGGGAAACAGAAUGUUCUAGACCAUUCCUCUCUAUAAUGGGAUCGUCAGUGGUGAGGAUGCCAAAUGAUGGAAGGUUGAUUAAAUCCCGUUUCUGUUUCCUUUCUUCUGAUGGCCUUUGAAGGGCCCAACUUAGGAAGGAUCACAAAUUUGGAACUUGGCCAGAGGUUAUAAAGUCUGAGGAGUUAUAUAUAUGUACUCCAGACGCCAACGUUUAGCCCAGGAGUACAGGAAGCAACUUCAGAUGCAAAUCGCCUACCAGCAGCAGUCCCAAGAAGCAGAGAAGGAAGAGAAACGCCGAGAGUUUGAAGCAGGGAUA